GAAAAGGCCAAUGGUUCCCAAAGUUGGCCGGCCGUGAGAAUUAUCUGAAGAACUUUGAGAAAGCACAGAUGCCCCGGUAUCCCACCACCACUGAAUCCACAUGUUUGGAGGCGAGGCCAAGGAAAGUGCAUGUGUCAAACUUCCCUGAGUUAAUUUUGAUGACCAGCCACAUUUGAAUGCAGCUAUUUUCUAGGCCUUGAGGUGGCUUUAAGUGGUUUGGUUUAAGCAAUUACUGAACGCACAUAAGAGCGAUCUUCUGAUGUGUGGACGUGGGACCCCCCAGAGAGGAUAAAAUAAACAACUCACCAGUCAUAUCAGUAGCAUGAAGAAAAUGAAGAAGAAAUGUACAUUUCCUUUCGGUCAGGAUUCUCCACGACAGGCUCAAUGAGAAUAACCUGGAGGAGCUUUUCUCCAAGGCCUAUGCCCUGGAGCCCACAGCUGCCAGUUAAAUCAGACUCUCAAAUCUGAGCAAGACUCAGACCUCAGGAUUCUUUGAAAAGUAACCAGAUGAUGCAACCAGGUCGGUGGUGGAAGUAACGGCCCAAUCAAGGAAGUUUGAACCCGGGGUCCUUCAGAAAUCAUCGUGCGCUGGGAAAACUGGACCUUCCCCAAGACUUAUCAAGAGGCUGUGAAAAUAGAAUUCUGUGAAUCGGUAUAUUUGAGAGAUGUUCCCGACUGCCUACGCCCAUCUGUGAGGUGUAUGGGCGUAGUUCCUAUCGAUGUCUCCCAGAAGACCUGUGACCAAGAAAAGUGUGAACCUGGCUUAAUCCAGUACUUUUCCCCAGAAGUCACUUUUUAUUUUUAUGGCAUUUACUAACAGCUGAUGGAGCUCCAGGAACAAUGGCUCAAGGCAAGGAAGCCAGCAUUACCAAUGAGCCAUUCCCAUCAUAAAAGAGUCAGCCAGAGAUAUCUAAUAAUUUCCACCAUGCAAUUAUUAUUACUAUUUAUCUCAAUGGAAAUUGGUGCAUGUUUGGAGUUGAAACGCUAAGUAAAGAUCUGGAGCAUUCAAAAGGUAAUUAUCCUCCCUUGAAUAUUGACAUACUUACAUGUUUU
rnacentral:lncRNA from 1 species